AGCAGCCGCGGUAAUUCCAGCUCCAAUAGCGUAUAUUAAAGUUGCUGCAGUUAAAAAGCUCGUAGUUGAAUUUCGGGACUAAUAUGUCGGUCGUGCCUCGGUACGUACUGGUUUAUUGGUUUCUCCUUUCUGAAGAACCAUGAUGUCAUUUAUUUGGUGUCGUGGGGAAUCAGGACUGUUACUUUGAAAAAUUAGAGUGUUUAAAGCAGGCUCACGCUUGAAUACAUUAGCAUGGAAUAAUGAAAUAGGACGUUUGAUUCUAUUUUGUUGGUUUCUAGGAUCGACGUAAUGAUUAAUAGGGAUAGUUGGGGGCAUUAGUAUUCAAUUGUCAGAGGUGAAAUUCUUGGAUUUAUUGAAGACUAACUACUGCGAAAGCAUUUGCCAAGGAUGUUUUCAUUAAUCAAGAACGAAAGUUAGGGGAUCGAAGACGAUCAGAUACCGUCGUAGUCUUAACCAUAAACUAUGCCGACUAGGGAUCGGAUGAUGUUAAUUUUUUAAUGUACUCAUUCGGCGCCUUACG
rnacentral:misc_RNA from 1 species